GUCAACGUUGAGAGUGCCCUUUUAGUACCCCCCCAUCCAAUACCCUUGUUUUUACAGAAGGGGAAACUGAGGCCCAAGGAAUUUGUGUGCUUUUCCUAAGUCACAAAGCUGAGUCCGACCCACGCUCUGGGACUCCCACUUUAUCGCUCGGAAGAAUCUUCCCGGUUCUUGUCUUCUCAUUGCGUCCUCCAGUCUUCCUAGUAAGGUAGGCAGGGUCUGAUGGUGCACAGCCCCAUUUUAUCGAUGAAGAGACUGAGGCCCAGAGGGUUCCAGUCCCAGUUCUGUUUGUCCGUGUGCAAGUCUUUCAGCCUUGUAAGGUGCCCUGGGUACAAUGGUUGUGAAGGUGCAGAAGGAGGGAGGCUUGCAGUGGUUUUCUUGGCUCUGGGCAAGGCUGGCACCUGUCUGCCUUUCUGGACUCGGUCUAGUCUCCUCAAACGUGCUCAGGCCCAAGGAAGCGCAGGGCUCACCCAAAUCUUUCAGCCGGGCCUGGAAGCAAGCCAGUGUCUCUCUUUCAGUGAACACGUAUGGGAAACUUGGGGAUGAGUAAGAGGAGGGCACUCCCACCUGCCCCCUGUCCAGACCAUCUGCUCAGGAAAAAAGACAGGCCAAGCUGUACUCACUAGAUAGGAUAAGAUCUAUGACCCAUGACAUGGCGGGCCAGGGCAAGAGACAGGGACAUUUGAACUGGGCUUCAAGGGGUGUAUAGGAGUUUGCCUAUUGGAGAGCUGAAGAGAGGGACAUUGCAGGCAGAGGAACUUUCUACAUUCUUCCUGCAGGAAACUGGCAGGUGGGUUUUGAUGCUGAGGUUGCUCUUGGGAAAGGAGCAGAUGAAGCAGUCUUCUUGUCUCUGGGCUUUUGCUUUCUGCCUCAUGAGAUCAGCUCACUGGGAGGCUCACUGGGAGGCUCCAGGCCUGGCUGGGGGUGAGAAGGUUUCAGCAAGGCCUGUGCCUUGUGGGCUGGGAGUUGGCUUUUUUGAGGGCCAGACUGAACCAGCCAGGCUGGAGCAGCUGCUUCCAUGUUGAGGAGCCACCCCCCCCUCCCCCCCCCCCCCCCACUNGGGAGGCUCCAGGCCUGGCUGGGGGUGAGAAGGUUUCAGCAAGGCCUGUGCCUUGUGGGCUGGGAGUUGGCUUUUUUGAGGGCCAGACUGAACCAGCCAGGCUGGAGCAGCUGCUUCCAUGUUGAGGAGCCACCCCCCCCUCCCGCCCCCCACCUCACUGGUGGCUAGUUAUCUCUGCCUCCUCCCACAAUUAGCUGGGAUGGCUACAGUUUAUUAAGCAGGAGCUGUGGGCUGGGCCCUGCCUUAGUCCAUUUCUUUUUCUCACUGUAUGAGGAAAGGAUUUUCUUAAUCCCCAUUUUACAGAUGAGGAAGGAGAGGCUCAGAGGAUGGAAAACUUGUCCAGGGAUGCACAGCAGGAAGGAGUGGAGGGGACACUGGAAGGAGGGCUAGGGCCAGAAGGGCUGUACUCAUAGCUGAAGAAAGGGAAUGUCUCUGUCUCUCUGCACUUAGGGUGUGGGACUCUUGCCCCUCCUCCAGCCCUUCUGCCUUAGCCCCUUCCGAAUCAGCCUGCCGAUUGGUUGGCCUCACCCUGUGUCAAGGGCAGCUGAGCCCCUCUAGAGCUCUAAGGCUGGGCACAGUGGAGGGGAGAAGGGAGAAAGGUGGCUGGUCUGCAACCCGAGGGAAGAGGGAGGCAGAGGAAAGCUGGAGAUGACCCUUAGUUUGUCCUGGGGUGCUGCACCCCUUUUUUUGGGAGUCCAGAGCCCCAGAUCAACUCACAGCCCUUUUGGUCUGGCUCCUCACCAUCCUCACACAGGCAGAGGGGAUGGCAGGGUGGCUAAGCACAUGGUUAGGGUCCGAGCUCCUCUAUGGUUGAGUUGCUGGACCUGCCUCUCCAGCUUCAGUUUCUACUUCUGUAAAAUGGAGCCAUUGGGAGGGUAGUUGAAAGGAAGUUGGGUAAAAAUUGCAGUAAUAACUAUUGUUAUUGUUUUCCUUUACUCCUAGCACACAGCCCCAAGACCACUCUUGACGCCUUCAGCCGUGCUAUGCAUGCCAGAGGUCCCCCUGGCCCACUGUCCCCGGCGCUGCCUCUUGCCUCCUCU
rnacentral:lncRNA from 1 species